GCCUGCGUAGCUCAGUGGUAGAGCACGUCCUUGGUAAGACGAGGUCACCGGUUCAAUCCCGGUCGCAGGCU
rnacentral:tRNA from 1 species